AUUGAACGCUGGCGGCAGCCUAACACAUGCAAGUCGAACGGUAACAGGAAGAAGCUUGCUUCUUUGCUGACGAGUGGCGGACGGGUGAGUAAUGUCUGGGAAACUGCCUGAUGGAGGGGGAUAACUACUGGAAACGGUAGCUAAUACCGCAUAACGUCGCAAGACCAAAGAGGGGGACCUUCGGGCCUCUUGCCAUCGGAUGUGCCCAGAUGGGAUUAGCUAGUAAGUGGGGUAACGGCUCACCUAGGCGACGAUCCCUAGCUGGUCUGAGAGGAUGACCAGCCACACUGGAACUGAGACACGGUCCAGACUCCUACGGGAGGCAGCAGUGGGGAAUAUUGCACAAUGGGCGCAAGCCUGAUGCAGCCAUGCCGCGUGUAUGAAGAAGGCCUUCGGGUUGUAAAGUACUUUCAGCGGGGAGGAAGGGAGUAAAGUUAAUACCUUUGCUCAUUGACGUUACCCGCAGAAGAAGCACCGGCUAACUCCGUGCCAGCAGCCGCGGUAAUACGGAGGGUGCAAGCGUUAAUCGGAAUUACUGGGCGUAAAGCGCACGCAGGCGGUUUGUUAAGUCAGAUGUGAAAUCCCCGGG
rnacentral:rRNA from 1 species